GGAGGUGGGAGGGUGGGGGGAAAGCUGCCUUAGAGAUUAAGUUUCCCUUUUAUGAAAUCGUAUUUAGUCUCUUUUUUUAACAAAUCUAACAACAAUGCUCUACAGCCUCUCACUGGGAAAUACCUUUAGUGUUAAAUACAGAUUCUGAUUUUCUUGGCUAAUGCAGAAAGCCCUUCUAUUGAAAAAUAAAUAAGGGGCUUGGUAUAUCCUACUAAAGCCUUUUCAGUGAAUGACUUCUGUGGGUUUUUUUUUUUCAUGGCUACUCUCCAUGGCUGUAAUGUGAAGCUUUUAUCCUACUAUUGAGAACUAUCCUCUACAUUUAAAGAAGAAAAGAAUAAGACAAAAAGGAAAAGGGGGACUGGAAGACAAGGAGGCAUAGUUCAACCCUUUUCCUCCCUGCUGCAGUCCCAACAACAUUCAUCCCAACAACCAUCAUUCACCUGAAGAUGCCAUUUUACCACUGGUCAAUUUGUUCUCAACACAAACAGCAGCCCCAAAAGACUAAUUCUGACAAUAUCAUGGGGGAGGGGAGAAAGAAAACACGCUUUUUGUGAUCCUGAUAAUUAACAUGAGCACAUCCUUCAACAUGUGCUAUUUGCCUUUUAAAAAACUAUCCACAUUAAAUGCAAAUAUGCACUCAACAUAAUCUCUAAAUAGUCCAAAGAUAAGUAUGGCCUUUUGAAUGGACAAAUGAACAACGAAGCAAAUCUGACAAAGGAAGGACAGAUAACUUCACCUAGCUUGCAUUAGGUAUGCUUCUAUAAUACUUUGACAACAUAUGUGCUUGAUGCUACAGCCAAUGUCUAUGAUCUUGAUUUUCAUGGAUCAUAUACAACCAAUGUCAUCAUUGCUUUGUUAUUGAAAAACAUAUUUGGUUUUGUUUAGGAUUGCACAUACUUUAUCCUCCAGUUUGAAAAUAUCAUUCCAUCUUUUUUAUGAAUUAUGCUAAGUUGCUUUCCUAUAUUAUGUGCUAUUUACUAACAGCACACAAUUGAUUCAUCUUCUAAUACUCAUGGGAACAGAACAGUUUCAAAAUCCCUUAUCUGAAACAUGAGGAAGGCCACUCAACUUCUGCCUCACAUAUUCAGCAUGUAUGCCCCAUUCUUAAAGAGGGGGACAUGGUCUAAAACUGAACUCACC
rnacentral:lncRNA from 11 species